CGGAAAACAAAGUCGUGGUAAAAAAGACAAAUCCUAACUUUGGAGAUAGACGUGUGAGGCUGAAAGUAGUUUAUGAAACAGUUCUAUUUUAACCCAAGAAAGUUUUUAAGAGAAUGUCCCUUAAUAGAGUGCCAACUAAUGUAAUAAAUUAUGAAUGAGCUACAUAUUAUCUUAAAAUCGCAAAAAUUAAGCAAAAGUUAUUCUGCAGUGGGU